UUCCAAACCAAUGUGAACCAUACCAAACUGUUGCCUCGGCGGGGUCACGCCCCGGGUGCGUCGCAGCCCCGGAACCAGGCGCCCGCCGGAGGGACCAACCAAACUCUUUCUGUAGUCCCCUCGCGGACGUUAUUUUUACAGCUCUGAGCAAAAAUUCAAAAUGAAUCAAAACUUUCAACAACGGAUCUCUUGGUUCUGGCAUCGAUGAAGAACGCAGCGAAAUGCGAUAAGUAAUGUGAAUUGCAGAAUUCAGUGAAUCAUCGAAUCUUUGAACGCACAUUGCGCCCGCCAGUAUUCUGGCGGGCAUGCCUGUCCGAGCGUCAUUUCAACCCUCGAACCCCUCCGGGGGUCCGGCGUUGGGGAUCGGGAACCCCUAAGACGGGAUCCCGGCCCCGAAAUACAGUGGCGGUCUCGCCGCAGCCUCUCAUGCGCAGUAGUUUGCACAACUCGCACCGGGAGCGCGGCGCGUCCACGUCCGUAAAACACCCAACUUCUGAAAUGUUGACCUCGGAUCAGGUAGGAAUACCCGCUGAACUUAAGCAUAUCAAUAAGCGGGAAGGAA
rnacentral:rRNA from 1 species